UACGAAGGGGGCUAGCGUUGUUCGGAUUUACUGGGCGUAAAGCGCACGUAGGCGGCUUUCUAAGUCAGGGGUGAAAUCCUGGAGCUCAACUCCAGAACUGCCUUUGAUACUGGAAAGCUUGAGUUCGGGAGAGGUGAGUGGAACUGCGAGUGUAGAGGUGAAAUUCGUAGAUAUUCGCAAGAACACCAGUGGCGAAGGCGGCUCACUGGCCCGAUACUGACGCUGAGGCGCGAAAGCGUGGGGAGCGAUCCGG
rnacentral:rRNA from 1 species